rnacentral:rRNA from 1 species
GACGAACGCUGGCGGCGUGCUUAACACAUGCAAGUCGAACGGAAAGGCCCUGCUUUUGUGGGGUGCUCGAGUGGCGAACGGGUGAGUAACACGUGAGUAACCUGCCCUUGACUUUGGGAUAACUUCAGGAAACUGGGGCUAAUACCGGAUAGGAGCUCCUGCUGCAUGGUGGGGGUUGGAAAGUUUCGGCGGUUGGGGAUGGACUCGCGGCUUAUCAGCUUGUUGGUGGGGUAGUGGCUUACCAAGGCUUUGACGGGUAGCCGGCCUGAGAAGGUGACCGGCCACAUGGGGCCUGAGAUACGGCCCAGACUCCUACGGGGGGGAGGGGUGGGGAAUUUUGCAAAAGGGGCGGAAGCCUGAUGCAGAAACCCCGGGGGGGGGAUGACGGCCUUCGGGUGGUAAACCGUUUUCGCCUGGGACGAAGCGGGGGUGACGGUAAUGGGGAAAGAAGCACCGGCUAACUACGG